AAUUUGGAUGCAUCUCAAUACUUUAUGAGGAGAAUACGACUCCUUUAAGGAUGAAUCAACUAUCUCCAGUGGUCCCCCUUCGCUCCAUGAUUGCCAUAUCUGCCCUAUCAAGCAUAGAUAAGAUUCCUCUUGACAGAAGCCAUUGCUCUUCUAUCCCGUAAUGAUCUCUAAUAGUAUGACUCCAAAACUGAAGAUAUCAGAUUUAGUUGAAAAUCUGCCAAACGCUGCAUAUUCUGGGGACAUGUAGCCAAAUGUUCCAACAAUUCUGCUCGUCUUUUCUUGAAUUUGGUCUCUUUU
rnacentral:misc_RNA from 1 species